UAAUACGUAGGGUGCGAGCGUUAAUCGGAAUUACUGGGCGUAAAGCGUGCGCAGGCGGGCUUUUAAGCCAGACGUGAAAUCCCCGGGCUUAACCUGGGAAUGGCGUUUGGGACUGGAAGUCUGGAGUGCGGCAGAGGAGACUGGAAUUCCUGGUGUAGCAGUGAAAUGCGUAGAUAUCAGGAGGAACACCGAUGGCGAAGGCAGGUCUCUGGGCUGACACUGACGCUCAUGCACGAAAGCGUGGGGAGCAAACAGGAUUAGAUACCCUGGUAGUCCACGCCCUAAACGAUGUCGACUGGUUGUUGGGGGUUUGACACUCUCAGUAACGAAGCUAACGCGUGAAGUCGACCGCCUGGGGAGUACGGCCGCAAGGUUAAAACUUAAAUGAAUUGACGG
rnacentral:rRNA from 1 species